GACGAACGCUGGCGGCGUGCUUAACACAUGCAAGUCGAACGGAAAGGCCCGCUUUUGUGGGGUGCCCGAGUGGCGAACGGGGGAGUAACACGUUAGUAACCUGCCCUUGACUUUGGGAUAACUUCAGGAAACUGGGGCUAAUACCGGAUAGGAGCUCCUGCUGCCUGGUGGGGGUUGGAAAGUUUCGGCGGUUGGGGAUGGACUCGCGGCUUAUCAGCUUGUUGGUGGGGUAGUGGCUUACCAAGGCUUUGACGGGUAGCCGGCCUGAGAGGGUGACCGGCCACAUUGGGACUGAGAUACGGCCCAGACUCCUACGGGAGGCAGCAGUGGGGAAUAUUGCACAAUGGGCGGAAGCCUGAUGCAGCAACGCCGCGUGCGGGAUGACGGCCUUCGGGUUGUAAACCGCUUUCGCCUGUGACGAAGCGUGAGUGACGGUAAUGGGUAAAGAAGCACCGGCUAACUACGUG
rnacentral:rRNA from 1 species